CAAUAGCGUAUAUUAAAGUUGUUGCAGUUAAAAAGCUCGUAGUUGGAUUUCUGGUGGGGCUGUCGGCCUGGCUCCGAAAGGGGUCGUGGUUAGUACACGCCUGGCCAUCCUCGGGGGAAGCUUUGCUGGCAUUAAGUUGUCGGCGGAGUGACGCUCGCCGUUUACUGUGAACAAAUUAGAGUGUUCAAAGCAGGCUUAGGCCGUUGAAUACAUUAGCAUGGAAUAAUGAGAUAGGACUUUGGUGGUCUAUUUUGUUGGUUUGCACGCCGAAGUAAUGAUUAAUAGGGAUAGUUGGGGGUGCUAGUAUUGGCCGGCCAGAGGUGAAAUUCUUGGAUUCGGUCAAGACUAACUUAUGCGAAAGCAUUCACCAAGGAUGUCUUCUUUAAUCAAGAACGAAAGUUGGGGGAUCGAAGAUGAUUAGAUACCGU
rnacentral:rRNA from 1 species